UCUUUUAAAGGAGAAGAGGCAGCCGAGGUGAAGGGGCUGAAGAUGGCGGGGCGGGAAGGUGAAGUGGGGCCGCAUCUCUGCUCCGGCUGCAUCUCUGCUCGGGCUCUUAACACAAAACGCUUCCUUUCCAGGGUAGUUCUUCCUAGAAAGUCCCCCUGUGACCUGAGCCACUGGUGUCACAGCUCCAGCAGGAACAAGCCAGCUCUGGAGGGCUGGGCAGGACUGGUUCCAGCACCCACACGUGGAAGAUUUUCCUGGUACAUUUGAGACCAACCAACUCCUGAAUGUGAAAGAAAGGCGGCUCAGCCACAAGGAGAGUGGAAGAGAGCUGGAAUACUGUGCGGCGACUGGAAAAGUUACAAGAAAAUUACAUGGAACCCACUAACCACUCUUACUUGUGACGUGCACUGGGCCUUUCUGGUGAGUACAAUAAGGAUUGUUACGAGUGAUAUCUGUUGUGUGAGGUGUGUGGCGUCAUGCUAAGCAUCUAUGUGGGUAAAUUCAAUCCUCUGAACAGCCUUUACGGUAGAAGCGAUUAUUUCCCCUCCUACAGGUGAGCAUGUGCAGAGAGAGAAAGGAGGAUGCAGUGGGAUCCUUGACUGGCCACCUGUUCGGGCUGGGCGCCCUGGGCAACUUAGUCUCGGAACCCUAGCUUCCUCUGGGAGAAUGAGCAGAAUCACUGUUUACGAAAUUAUUAGGAAUAUUAAAUGAUGUGUGUGCAGGAGCCUAAUGCAUGCUGGGUACUUUUUUAAAAAACCAUCAUAAAAUGUGAACAGUGGCUCAGUUGUUGGCUCCACAUAGAUAUUGCGAUCUGAGCUUGUUCUUUCUCCCCAGAGCAGGAUGAAGACUUGCACCACAGAAGCAGGAACCCCUGUGAACGUCUCCUACCAGGUAGGUACCACGUAGAUGUGUGAUGCAGCCUACUGUUAAAAAGUGUGUGUGUGUGUGGCGGGGGGCAGUAGUAGCAGAGACAGUGGCCCGAACCAUGGUUCAGUGAAGGCUGACAUUCCAACUUGGAGUGGAAGCCAAGAAACCUCAUCCCUACAUGAAGUGUGGCCACAUGCCACCAGUUUGUGACCCUGGGGACUCUGGUUUAAAGAUGCUAGCUUAUGGAGUUCCCAUGGUG
rnacentral:lncRNA from 1 species